UAAGGAAUAUUGGUCAAUGGACGCAAGUCUGAACCAGCCAUGCCGCGUGAAGGAUGAAGGUCCUCUGGAUUGUAAACUUCUUUUAUCUGGGACGAAAACGGGAUUUUUAUCUCAAUUGACGGUACCAGAGGAAUAAGCACCGGCUAACUCCGUGCCAGCAGCCGCGGUAAUACGGAGGGUGCGAGCGUUAUCCGGAUUUACUGGGUUUAAAGGGUGCGUAGGUGGGCUUAUAAGUCAGUGGUGAAAUCUCCGAGCUUAACUUGGAAACUGCCGUUGAUACUAUAGUUCGUGAGUACAGUUGAGGUAGGCGGAAUGUGUCAUGUAGCGGUGAAAUGCUUAGAUAUGACACAGAACACCGACUGCGAAGGCAGCUUGCUAAGCUGUAACUGACGCUGAGGCACGAAAGCGUGGGGAGCAAACA
rnacentral:rRNA from 1 species